rnacentral:rRNA from 1 species
AGUGAACGCUGGCGGCAGGCCUAACACAUGCAAGUCGAGCGGCAGCGGGUCCUUCGGGAUGCCGGCGAGCGGCGGACGGGUGAGGAAUGCAUCGGAAUCUGCCCUGUCGUGGGGGAUAACCUAGGGAAACUUAGGCUAAUACCGCAUACGACCUACGGGUGAAAGCGGGGGAUCGCAAGACCUCGCGCGACAGGAUGAGCCGAUGUCCGAUUAGCUAGUUGGCGGGGUAAAGGCCCACCAAGGCGACGAUCGGUAGCUGGUCUGAGAGGAUGAUCAGCCACACUGGGACU